rnacentral:rRNA from 1 species
GUGGGGAAUAUUGGACAAUGGGCGAAAGCCUGAUCCAGCCAUGCCGCGUGUGUGAAGAAGGUCUUCGGAUUGUAAAGCACUUUAAGUUGGGAGGAAGGGCAGUAAGUUAAUACCUUGCUGUUUUGACGUUACCGACAGAAUAAGCACCGGCUAACUUCGUGCCAGCAGCCGCGGUAAUACGAAGGGUGCAAGCGUUAAUCGGAAUUACUGGGCGUAAAGCGCGCGUAGGUGGUUUUGUAAGUUGGAGGUGAAAUCCCCGUGCUCAACCUGGGAACUGCCUCCAAAACUGCAUGACUCGAGUACGGUAGAGGGUAGUGGAAUUUCCUGUGUAGCGGUGAAAUGCGUAGAUAUAGGAAGGAACACCAGUGGCGAAGGCGACUACCUGGACUGAUACUGACACUGAGGUGCGAAAGCGUGGGGAGCAAACAGGAUUAGAAACCCCGGUAGUCC